rnacentral:rRNA from 1 species
AGCAGCCGCGGUAAUUCCAGCUCCAAUAGCGUAUAUUAAAGUUGUUGCAGUUAAAAAGCUCGUAGUUGAACUUCGGGGUUUACCCAUUGGUCAGGCUUAAUUGUCUGUACUGGUGAGAUAAAUCUCUACCUUCUGAGGAACUUUCAUGUCAUUAAUUUGGUGUGAUUGGAAAUCAGGACUGUUACUUUGAAAAAAUUAGAGUGUUUAAAGCAGGCUAACGUCUGAAUACAUUAGCAUGGAAUAAUGAAAUAGGACGGACUGAUUCUAUUUCGUUGGUUUCUAGGAUCACCGUAAUGAUUAAUAGGGAUAGUUGGGGGCAUUAGUAUUCAAUUGUCAGGGGUGAAAUUCUCGGAUUUAUUGAAGACUAACUACUGCGAAAGCAUUUGCCAAGGAUGUUUUCAUUAAUCAAGAACGAAAGUUAGGGGAUCGAAGACGAUCAGAUACCGUCGUAGUCUUAACCAUAAACUAUGCCGACUAGGGAUCGGACGAAGUUAAUUUUAUAAUGACGCGUUCGGCACCUUACG